GUAAAGUUUUUGAAGGGGUCUGGAAUGUUUAUGGGAAUAUCAGAGUGUGAUGGUUAUAUGAUGGAUUUAGGAAAGCGUGAGGAUGAGGAUGUGAAUAAGUUGUAUGAAGUGAUUUUUCAAGUGUCAAAGCGUAAGCCGAGUAGAACUUUGAUGGUAGAACAUCAAGUUUUGCCUGGUAAUGUGACUAUAGGCAAUUUCAGGGAUAUUUGGUGGAUUUGUGGUGAAAAUGCUUAUUUAUUUCUACCAUACGGGUGGACAGGAUGUUGCUAUAUGGCAACACUAAAACUCCCAUAUGAAGUUUUUUCUGUCCAGAAGGGAGAAGCAUCUGAUGAGGCUCAAUCUAAUGUUGCUUCUGGAAGUAGGAAUAAAAGAGAAUUAGCGCAAUUUCAUAAUCUGGAGUCCUACCAUUGGAGAAUAAGCAUAGGAGAAAAGUGGGGAAUAGGAUUGUUUCCAUGGUAUGGAGUGACAUUUUUGGCAGAUCAUAUUGAUAACAUUACAUACACCUUACAGGGCUUUGCAAACGAAACUAUAAGAGGUUUCGAAAUGUUGUCAAACACCCAAAGGAGCCAUAGAUUGACAUUGUUAAAACACGACAUGGCUCUUGAUUAUAUUUUGGCCAAACAAGGGGGCUUAUGUGUUGCUUUAAAUUUAACGGGAGAUGCCUGCUACACUUUGAUUCCUGAUAAUUCAGAUAAUAUAACUAAUGUCAUAGAUGCACUGAAGCACAUAAGAGAUGCCUUUGGUCCAUCAGAAGGAGCUGGUUGGUCUGCAAAUAGUUGGUUGCAGGAGAAAUUAGGGCCACUAGGAGCAGUGCUAGUUCAAAUUAUGGUA